AACGAACGCUGGCGGCAUGCCUAACACAUGCAAGUCGAACGAGACCUUCGGGUCUAGUGGCGCACGGGUGCGUAACGCGUGGGAACCUGCCCUUAGGUUCGGAAUAACUCCCCGAAAGGGGUGCUAAUACCGGAUAAUGUCUUCGGACCAAAGAUUUAUCGCCUUUGGAUGGGCCCGCGUUGGAUUAGCUAGUUGGUAGGGUAAAAGCCUACCAAGGCGACGAUCCAUAGCUGGUCUGAGAGGAUGAUCAGCCACACUGGGACUGAGACACGGCCCAGACUCCUACGGGAGGCAGCAGUGGGGAAUAUGGGACAAUGGGCGAAAGCCUGAUCCAGCAAUGCCGCGUGAGUGAUGAAGGCCUUAGGGUUGUAAAGCUCUUUUACCCGGGAUGAUAAUGACAGUACCGGGAGAAUAAGCUCCGGCUAACUCCGUG
rnacentral:rRNA from 1 species